rnacentral:tRNA from 1 species
CCGUCCUUGACGAUACCGGCGAUGUCGUUCAUUUGAUGCGUGAAUAGCACUCCCGGCGAGUUCAACGCUUGCUGGACGCU